CUUUCGAGUUUGGGGACGGGGUGCGGGAAGAGGGAGAACCGUCGGCAGAGUUCCUGUGUGUUGCGCCUAUCUUGGCAGAUUGCUCCGCCAGCUCCCGAAUCGUGGUAAAGUCUCUUCCGCCCCAGCACCGCUCUGUCUGUGUAGGGAUGUGUGUCUAGGGUUUGGUCGUUUUUUUUGUUUGCAUAUGUGAUUCGAUAGAGGGGUUGUUAGAUCGCAGGUUGCUUUGUUUGAUUACUGUUUACGUGUUGCAGAUACCACCCUAGAUAAGAUAUACACACCGUUUUAGAUUGCCGGAUCACGGGUUGCUUUGUGUUUUUCCAGAAAGUAUCAUUGAUGUAUACGCGCCGUUUUUAUUGUUUUUUUUCCUGUGAGUGUUCUGCUCUUAACCUACGUGUUUUCCUUGUGGAGUUCAUGGCGCGCCCUCUCAAUGAGUGCAACAAGUUCAAUGUACUGUGCAAACGCCCUGAGGCUUGCCAUUUAGCCUUC
rnacentral:lncRNA from 1 species